UACGUAGGGUGCGAGCGUUGUCCGGAAUUACUGGGCGUAAAGAGCUCGUAGGUGGUUUGUCGCGUUGUUCGUGAAAACUCACGGCUUAACUGUGAGCGUGCGGGCGAUACGGGCAGACUGGAGUACUGCAGGGGAGACUGGAAUUCCUGGUGUAGCGGUGGAAUGCGCAGAUAUCAGGAGGAACACCGGUGGCGAAGGCGGGUCUCUGGGCCGAUACUGACGCUGAGGAGCGAAAGCGUGGGGAGCAAACAGG
rnacentral:rRNA from 1 species